CAGUAGCCACGGGAAUACGGAGGGGGCUAGCGUUGUUCGGAAUUACUGGGCGUAAAGCGCACGUAGGCGGCUUGGUAAGUUAGAGGUGAAAGCCCAGGGCUCAACCCUGGAAUUGCCUUUAAGACUGCCGAGCUAGUAGGUGAGAGAGGUGAGUGGAAUUCCGAGUGUAGAGGUGAAAUUCGUAGAUAUUCGGAAGAACACCAGUGGCGAAGGCGGCUCACUGGCUCAUUCUAGACGCUGAGGUGCGAAAGCGUGGGGAGCAAACAGGAUUAGAUACCCCCGUAGUCCCUGUCUCUUAUAU
rnacentral:rRNA from 1 species